AUUGAACGCUGGCGGCAUGCCUUACACAUGCGAGUCGAACGGCAGCACGGGAGCAAUCCUGGUGGCGAGUGGCGAACGGGUGAGUAAAGUAUCGGAACGUGCCCAGUCGUGGGGGAUAACGUAGCGAAAGUUACGCUAAUACCGCACACGAUCUAUGGAUGAAAGCGGGGGAUCGCAAGACCUCGCGCGAUUGGAGCGGCCGAUAUCAGAUUAGGUAGUUGGUGGGGUAAAGGCUCACCAAGCCGACGAUCUGUAGCUGGUCUGAGAGGACGACCAGCCACACUGGGACUGAGACACGGCCCAGACUCCUACGGGAGGCAGCAGUGGGGAAUUUUGGACAAUGGGCGAAAGCAUGAUCCAGCCAUGCCGCGUGCAGGAUGAAGGCCUUCGGGUUGUAAACUGCUUUUGUACGGAACGAAAAGGUUUGGCCUAAUAAGCUGAGCUCAUGACGGUACCGUAAGAAUAAGCACCGGCUAACUACGUGCCAGCCGCCGCAGUAA
rnacentral:rRNA from 1 species